UGUGAGAGAAGAUCUUAGUUCUUGUACCCGACCCAGUGGAUUGGCCCCCUCGACACCUACUCCAAACUCCUGAUGUGCCUUCCUGUCUAAGAGGCUGGACAGCUAAGCCUUAUGUUUCAGGGACUCCCUUGAGCCAAAGCUCCACUGUCAUCAGUACCCACAUGAGACGCAUAAGGAACUGGAUGAGGAAGGAGAACCGCAGGACGUGGGGCAUCCUUUUGGCUGGGGAUCGUGAAUUUAACUCACAUCACAUCUCCGAAGUAUGGCGAUAUAGUCCCUUUGUUAACUCAUCCAGCCUCCUUCCUCAGUCCCCACCUGCUGCAUGACAUAGUCCUCUGACUUCUGGCUGUGACUCCCAUUUCAUCCUGACCCAUCUUGCAGUCGCUCACCCAGCUCACCAGCGCUGUGGAUCCCCAGCCAGAUUCUCAGGUAUUCUCGGUCACAAGGGCCCCAUAUGCCACCAUGCUGUGAAAAAGCCCUAACUAGCCUUUAUAGAGAGAUCACCUGGAGGGACCUGUACGGAGAGGUGCUGAAGCUCCCAGCCAACAGCCAGCAUCAGCUGCCAGCCACAUGACAAAAUGAGUCUUCAGAGAAUUUCAGCCCCAACCUCUGAGUGCACCAGCUGAGCAUCCAGAUGUCAUGGAACAGAGACAAGCCAUCUCUAAUAUGCCCUGUCUGAAUUCCUGACCCACAGGAUCCCUGAGCAUAAAAAAAUGGUUGUUUUUCCCCACUAUAGUUUGGGGUCAUUUGUUACAUAAUAAGUAUAGUAACUGGGACAAAAGGGUACAAACAAGGAAGUUUGUCUGAUGUGUUCAAAUUUGAAAAUGUCAUUUAGCAUCCUGUGAGAAGAGCAGAUUAUAUAGAGUAGAAGCAAAAAGACUUAUGAAGACACCCUAAUAUGUCCCAGCUAGAAUCAGUUAUUCCUUCUUAUGCAUACUUCUAACAAAUCAUCUAUAAAUAUAUUACGCUUAUUGGCCUACAUUUCCCUGAGGGACCUUAACGUUUAGUAGAUAGUUUUUCUCUCUAGGAAAACUAAAGUAGAUCUUUGAAAAUCCUGAAAGAUUUCCUAAUGAAAACAAUUCAUUAAAAUAGUUGCCUUCUUAGUCUUCUUUGGCCAUAUAUCAAAGGAACCGGAGCUUUGUGAAUUAGGAAAGGCAUCAAAUUGAUAAAAAUCAAUUUCUUAAUCUUCUGGUAAUACUUUGGAUUAUCUGAGAGAAGACAUUUUAUUCAUUGUGCCUCUCUUAUGUGUAGUAGUGAUAAUAAUGCUUAUCUCACAAGGUUACUAAAGGCUAAUGAAAUAACAUUUGCAAGUUAUUAAAGAGUUUGUGGAUACAUUAAGUCCCUGACUUACAAACGAGCUCCGUUCCAGGAGAACAUUCAUAAAUUGAAUUCGUUCUUAAGUCCGACAAAGUGAGUCUUAUACACCUUUGACACAAAUAUACA